AUGACUCACUUCCGGCCUGGUUUGUUUUCUUUUUUCUGGCGCGCCGGGGCGGGGUCGUGUGCUACCGCGGUAGCGUUUUCUAGGAGAAUGUGGCUGCGCACCCCGCUUUCCGGGAAUCUCAUCGGGGUCUCGGGGGUCCCGGAGGCUGCGAUGUCGGCGCCCGGCGCGGUGGGUCUGGCGUUGAAAGCAGAAGCGGAGGAGGAAGUGAAGGACCCCGGGCACUGGCGAGACCCACAUACCUCCCGGAGGAGCUUCUGGCGGCUGCGCUACGGGUCGUGUCCGGCCCGGGGGAGGCAGUGAGCCGCCGGCGGGAGCUGUACCGCCGUUGGCUGCGGCCCGAGCGGCGCUCCAGGGAGCGCCGGCUGCGGGACCACGUGCGCCACCGGCGGCCUCAGCGCGGGGAGGAGGCGGCGGCUUGGACAGGACGAGCCUUGCACCCGGCCUCUCCGCAGGCCUGGAGACCCAAGCUGCCUGGAACCCCGACCUGAUCUCAAAACAGGAGGAGGACUGCAAGGAGGAAGCCAAGCCUGCGCAGGCCUCGGUACAGGGCGCGCCCCUGGGGACGGACCACAACAGGGAAGAGACACCACCUAAAGAUGCUGUCCUGCCACUGCCACAGCCCCAGGGUUCUCCAGGAGAGCCAGAGGGCAUGUCGACCUCACAUGCCCCUUGGGUGCCCAAGGAGGAAGAGCUUUGGAGAAAUAGAUAGCCAGGGCCCACGGCCACCUCGCAGGUCUCUGUGUGGCCAAGAAGGAAGAGCUUUGGAGAAGUGGAGAGCCGUUGUGCACAACCAUCUUGCAGGUCCCCUGGGGGGGCCAAGGAGGAGGGGCUUCGGAGAAGUGACAACUUAGGGGAGGUUGCCACUGCCCCUGCCCUCGGUUGGGAUCAACCGCACCACUUUUGUGAAGUGGUCCCCGCUGGAGAAUAAGCUUGCUGUGGGGAGUGGAGCUCGGCUCAUCUCCUCUGUCUGCUACUUUGAGUCUGAAAACGACUGGUGGGUGAGCAAGCACAUUAAAAAGCUGAUUCACUCCUGAGGAGCUUAGGCUGGCACCCCAACAUUUUGCUUGCUGCAGGGUCAUGUGACUUCAAAUGGCAGUUCUCUGGGUUUUGAUGUGACAAGGAGUUGGAAGCAUGAAGUCCAGGUUGGUCUGGAGCCCACCGUCCUCCAUCAGCUUCUUGUCCUGGAAUUACAAGUCUGCACCUUCAUGUCCACCAGCCUCUUUCUUGCACCGUUUCAGGUCCUCAUUUUGUGUCCCAGGCCACAGGCUGCAGAGAACACUGAACCUGACUUUAUCCACGUGUCCCUGAGGGUGUACAGACAGAACAUUCCCUCUGUCUUUAGCCCGAGGCUAGAGGAGACUCGCCACCCUGCUAGAGCUUUAAGAAUCAUGCCACGGGUUGCUUUUUAAAACCUGUCCUUCAACAGGGCCCUUUCCCCUUUAGCAAAAGGAAAAGCAAAGAAUUCAUCACUGUUUUGUGUUGACUGUUUGGGGCAGACUCAACCCACCUUCAGUACCUUUGUCAGGGUUUCCCAGCCUAAGGAGUAUGACCCUUUCGUGGGUAAAACAACCCUUUCAUAAGGGCCACCCAAGACCACCAGAACACACUUUAAUCAGCAGCAAACUUGCGGUUACAAAGCAACAAUGGGAAUAAUUUUCUGAGGCAGGGCACCACAGCUCGAGGAAGGUUGGGACCUACCGGCCCUUGUGAAAAUUUUCCAGAAAACCAGCCCUGUCAUUUAUAUUCAGGCCUAAUUAAAAAAAAAAAAAAAGGCAGGCAAUGUUGCUCAGUGGUGGACCAUCUGCCGAGUCUGUAGCAAAGCGCCAGCACCAUGAACAAAAAACUAAAAAGAAAAAUCUGGGUGGUGAAGGUGGAGCUAGGGUAGUCUUGGGGUUCUGUGCUCAGGAGUUUGUGGUCUGUUAGUUUUCCAGGGUCCCCUGGCUGUCCCAGCAAAUAAGACAGGACAGGACUGUCUGGACACGUCCACAGUUGCCCAUGACCCCCAGGCAGGAGAAGCUGAUGCCCCUAACCCUGCUGACUUUCAGCUGCCGCUAUCAUUUGGAAGUUGGGCGUAGGGAGCUAGAGGUUUGCUUUGGUUUGGUUUGAAAACAGGGAUUAUCUGAGUCACUCUGUAGCGCAGGCUGGCCUCGAACCCACAGAGAUCCCCCUGCCUCUGCCUCCCCAAGCGCUGGGAUUAAAGGUGUGCAGCCCAGAGUUGUUUUACAGAGUCUUGAGGUUCAGGCUCCCCUUCCUCUUCCUUUCUCCUCCUCCUCUACUCCUCCUUGACUCUUCCUCCUCUAACACCUACUGCUUAUCCUCCCCUUUUUCCUCCACUUUCUUCUCCUUCUUGAAUCUUCCUCCUUGCCUCCUCCUCAACUCCUCCUCUUCACCAUCUCCUCAACUCUUCCUCCUCCUCGACACUUCCUACUUCUCUUCUUCCUCCUCCUCUUCCUGGACUCCUCGACUCCUGGUCUUCCUGCCUUGGCCUCCAGGGGCCGCACCCAUGUUCAGAUGCUUCCCGGAGAAUCAGAAGAGGCCAGACGAGUCAGAUUCUGGCCCCCAGUCCCUCAACAUCCUAAGGCCUCAAAGGUGACAGUGGAGCUGAGGUGGGGGCCAGCCCUUUGUUGGCAGGGCAGGCCUGCCUCUCUCAGCCCUUUGUUGGGUAGCUUUACCUCUAGGUUUGUCUGUGUGUGUGUGUGUGUGUGUGUGUGUGUGUGUGUGUGUGUGUGUAUGUAUAUGUAUAUGUGUAUGUGCGCCCAGGACCUGUGUCUACCCGGCUCUAUGCCGCAGGCUGCCAUCUCUGGUUCCCUGUGGGUGAUGCGGAUCCAAACUGGGGUCCCUGUGCUGGUCCAGCAAGCACAUCCCUGGCUGGCCUUUCCUGCAUCCGCCCAUCUUAACCCGCCUCCCUCCUCCUCCGCCACCCUUGCCACAACAGAGUGUUCUCGGCCUACAUCAAGGAGGUGGAUGAGAGCUGGCCAGCACCCUGUAGGGCAGCAAGAUGGCAGCUGAUGGCAGAGUUUGGCGGUGGCAGUGGCUGGGUAUACAGCGGCAGCUUCUCAGCCAGCAGGAGUCCCCUGGCCUGGGUCAGCGAUGACAGCACAGUGUCGGUGGCUGACGCCUCCAAGAGCAUGCAGUGAGUCCUCACCUGGCUGGUGGGGGGCAGAGGGGAAUACAGUUAGCGAUCUGUACAUGCUGGCUCUCCACGGCAGCUAGGGGAAGAAGUGUAGACAGCUGGCCAGCUGAACACGCUGGCUCUCCUAGACCACGGCAGCUGAGGAUGGGGGUGUAUACAACUAGGGAUCUGUACAUUCUGGCUCUCCAUGGCAGAUAGAGGGAGUGUAUACAGCUAGGGGGAGUAUAUACAGCUGGUCAUCUGGACAUGCUGGCUCUCCUUGGCAGCUAGGGGAAGUGUAUACAGCUGGCCACACACACUAUGGACAUAGUAGCCUAGAGUACCUGCAGCUAGGAGGAGUGUAUACAGCUAGCUUUUCCUUGUUUCAAGGCCAAACUGGUCUCCAGAGCGAGUGGCAGGACAGCCACUACAUGCAAACUAAAACCAAAGCAGAAAAAAAAGAAAAAGAAAAAUAGAAAUAAAUGAAAUGUGGACUCACAGAUUGUGCAGGAACAACGCCUAUGACGGAAAGACUGUAUUUAGUUAGUUUUAUUUAUUCUAUAUUUAUUCUUUAUCGUAUAUCCUAAACCCAGCACAACCAUAACCCUAACCCUUCCCCUAGCACAACCCUAACCCUAAACCUAAUCCUUUACCUUAUACCUAAAUCUAACCCUAAAGGUAACACUAACCCUACCACAACACUAACCCAACCAUAACCUUAAACCUAGAACAAGAGGUAGACGGUCAGCUAAUGCGAAUGUAAAUAUCUAUGCCAUUUCUAACCAGCAGUGGAUGUACUCAUUAGAACUGCAAUCCAAGUAUCAGCAAUCCAGCAGCUAGCCUGUAUAGGCUUAGCAGGCCCGGCUCCAGAGGAGCCCAAGUCCUAGGUAGCAGUUCAAACUGCCCUGAGCAGGGAACCGCGAGCCUGGCUAGGGGUCCACGACCCAGCAGCGGCCACGAUGGCGGUGGGGGGGGGUGUCGGGGGAGCAGGUGCUUCUUGCCUGCCUGCCUGCCUGCCUGCCUGCCUGCCUGCCUGUCAGGGGCAGGGUGGCUAGCGCCUCAGGAUGGCCAGGGGACAGAGGCCAGGCAGGGUGAGUGAGCUUUGAGCGAGUGGCCAGCGCGGGCAGCUCAACUCGUUUGAGGUCACCUGACUCACACAGCAGCAGCCAGCUUCGGGCCACAGCAGAGGGCACAGCCCGCGGCAGCAAGUGCUGGCGGGAAGGAGACGGGAGCAAAAGUAAACUUUUCCGAACUCCAAAUCGUUUCCUAAGAUUUUCUACGUCGGAGCCACUGACAAAAAGCACAGUUACCCAGCCUCUAUUGCCAGAGACCAACCAUUUCCAGCACAGCACCUAGGGAAAGACCAAAACCCGAACCAAGCAAACACAAAAUUCCAGCACUUGAGAGGCAGAGGCAGGCAAAUCUCUUAGUGUGUGUCCAGCCCAUAGUCUCAUACAUAUGCUCAUGAUGAGUUCAAAGCAUAAGUUUAUAAUCUUUUUAUUUCAAUUGUUUUUGUUUGUUUGUUUCUUUGUUUUUAGUUUCGGCUCAUUUGAGAUGGGGUUUCUCUGUGUAAGUUUGGUAGACACAUACGCAGAGAGGGAGAGAAGAAAGAAAGAAAGAAAGAAAGACAGAAAGAAAGAAAGAAAGAAAGAAAGAAAGAAAGAAAGAGCUCUUCCCUCAACUAGUAAGAGUGAACUUCAAAUUGUUCCCUAAGAUUUUCCCUAACCUUGCUAAACAAUCUAUUGCCAGAGACCGACCAUCUUCCAGCAGACAAGGCAGGUCUGAGUCAGGGAUGACCUGAUGAUGGCUGCUGCUAUUUGGGGCUGCUGGUUGUGGCAAAAAAAAAAGAACUCUUCAUAUAAUUUAACUCUUAAACUUCCAUGGGCCUCUGGUUGUGGAGAGAGCCUCUAAAGCUCUAAAGGAAAAGAGUUAGAGGGAACUGAACCCUGGAUUCUCAGAUUCAGGGUCAAGAAACAGUGGUGGCAGCCAGGGGACAUGGGAGAGAGGGGUGUUCUAUGUCUCUAUCCCUACUGUAUUUACAGGGAGCCCUCUGAUUGUCAUGGUAUCUCUCUCUUUUAAAAAUCAGAGUAAAGAGCGAGCGACACUAAACCUCUGUGAUGGUUUGUUUCUACAGAGUAAGAGGGGUUUCUGUGUUUGUUUGUUUUGUUUUGUUUUAAUGUCAAAGUUUUUCUAAAAUACAGGUGUCUGUCUUGUAUGGGUAGCCAUAUAUUCUUUGUUUCAAUAUUCAUAUGAUCUCUCUCAUCGUAUCCUCAUCCUUGGACUAAACCUAGAAGGAAUGCAUGUCCUUCGUCAUUAAUUUGCUUCAUCUCCCUUUGGCACUCAGCAUUUGGAGGUUCAAAGAGCUCCCAGCAGUCCAUCUUCCCUUGCAAAUUGCUGGAAUGAAGUCAGAAACUCUUUGAAAAAUCAUGAUCAGUCAGGGAUUACAGAACCAUCAGAAUGUGAAAAACAACAGCACACUCUGUUAUAGAGUGUUCUCUGCAGCCUGUGGCCUGGGACACAAAAUGAGGACCUGAAACGGUGCAAGAAAGAGGCUGGUGGGCAUGAAGGUGCAGACUUGUAAUUCCAGGACAAGAAGCUGAUGGAGGACGGUGGGCUC